rnacentral:piRNA from 1 species
UCCCUGAACUCCUUUCUGAGAAGCCAAAGC